CACAGGAUUCAUCAGGAAUGGCCACAUUUAUUGUUUUAUUUGAUUUACUUUUAUUUGUUGAUUCAGGAAAUUUUCUGCAAUAAGAUUUUCAUUUUUACAGCUCAGGUGUCUCUGAAGACAAUUUGUUGUGUUCAGAGUCACAGAGCCGUGUCUCUGCACUCAGAGGUUUUUGUACGGCGGCUCAGGCAGUUUGUAUCACUGUGGAGGACGUUCGGUGGAGGAACCAAACUGGAGGUUGACUUGGGUCGAGUCGUCCCCACCCUGACGGUGCUGCCCCCCUCCAGAGAGGAGCUGCAGCAGGGGAAGGCCACGCUCAUGUGCCUGGCCAACAAGGGCUUCCCCUCAGACUGGAGUCUGUCCUGGAAGGUGGACUGCAGCAACAGCAGCAGCAGCUGGGAGGAGAGCAGCAGCCCCGGGGUGCUGCAGAAGGACGGCCUCUACAGCUGGAGCAGCACCCUGAGGCUCCCUGCAGACCAGUGGGAGAAGGUGGGCUCUGUGACCUGUGAGGCCACCCAGGGCUCCCAGACUCCACUCUCACACACACUGAGGAGAGACCAGUGUUCCCAGUCCUGAGCUGACUCACUGGGACUCUGAUCCUGGUUCUCCUGUUACUGCAGGUGUUUCUGUCAUCAUCUCAUCUUUGUUUCUGAAUCCUUAUCAUUUCACUGU